GAUGAACGCUGGCGGCGUGCCUAAUACAUGCAAGUCGAGCGAACGGACGAGAAGCCUUCCUUCCUGACGUUAGCGGCGGACGGGUGAGUAAAACGUGGAUAACCCACCCUUAAGACUGGGGUAACUUCGGGAAACCGUUGCCUAUACCCGCAAAAAUUUUGAACCGCAAGGUUCAAAAGUGAAAGACGGUCUUGCUGUCACUUAUAGAAGGACCCGCGCUGCAUUAGCUAGUUGGUAAGGUAACGGCUUACCAAGGCAACGAUGCAUAGCCGACCUAGGGGGGGGAUCGGCCACCCUGGAACUGGGACACGGUCCAGACUCCUACGGGAGGCAGCGGUAGGGAAUCUUCCGCAAUGGGCGAAAGCCUGACGGGGCAACGCCGCGGGAGUGAUGAAGGUCUUCGGAUCGUAAAACUCUGUUAUAGGGAAGAACAUAUGUGUAAGUAACUGUGCACAUCUUGACGGUACCUAAUCAGAAAGCCACGGCUAACUACGUG
rnacentral:rRNA from 1 species